GAAAAAAAAAAGAUAAGACGAAAGAAAAAGAGAAGAGAGGAGGAGAGUUUUUGAGGUUUUUCUCAAAUCUACAAAGAUCUAAGCCCCCAAUCUCCAAUCUAACUUUGGAAACGUGAUCUACACGUGUGGAUCUACGUUUUAACUGGUUGUUUUGAGGUAUUUGGCUACUAAGAGGUUGCUUAAGGCUACCCAAACCUUCGAUUUUGGUUUGGCGAACUUUGGUGGUGCUUCGCGAGUUGAACUUAGAGUCGUUGGAAUUGGUGUGCGAAUGGCCUAAGAUGGAGCUUCUUUGGAUGCAGGUAUUGAUGAUGCGGAGGAUGACUCCGUUGCACACUAUGUGGAGUACUACGACUACGCACGUCGCUUGAGUCACAGGAGUGUCAGACUCGGAUAGUCCCUUUUGUGUAUUUUGUAUAUGGCUAGUGUGACUUGUAACACGUAGAUGUAGCCAUUCUUUUGUAUGCAUACCUUAUGCUUAAGCCUCAAACAGAUAGACAUUAAUAGGCUCUUUUAUGUAAUGGACAGUUUAUGA